rnacentral:rRNA from 1 species
AACGUACGCUGGCGGCACGCCUUAUACAUGCAAGUCGAACGAAGUAGCAAUACUUAGUGGCAGACGGGUGAGUAACAUGUGGGUAUCUUCCCUUUGGUGAGGAAUAACACGAGGAAACUUAGGCUAAUACCGGAUAAGACCACAUUUCAUAUGGAAUGUGGGAAAAGGAGUCUCAAUCUUCACUCGAGGAUGAGUUCGCGGACCAUUAGCUUGUUGGUGAGAUAAAAGCUCACCAAGGCAACGAUGGUUAGCCGGCCUGAGAGGGCGAUCGGCCACACUGGAACUGAGACACGGUCCAGACUCCUACGGGAGGCAGCAGUGGGGAAUAUUGCGCAAUGGGCGAAAGCCUGACGCAGCAACACCGUGUGAGCGAUG